CCAUGUAGAGAGUGACACCCACCCAAUCACUGCCCCUGACCUGACAAUUGCUAAUUGUGGUAAGAACCGACAGUGGCAUUCUCCUGGGACUCUCUUGUGUAUUUCCAGACGCCACCAACACACAAUGGCCUCUACUCCUCCGGUGUAAACAUUGCCAAAUAAGACAAACAAUAACAUCACCACGACAAUCCUGGAAGUGUCGUUGGUCUCUUGGGUAUAAUCAGAUUUCCUCACAUCUCAGGGUAUGGGCAAAAAU
rnacentral:lncRNA from 1 species